UGGGGAAUUUUGGACAAUGGGCGAAAGCCUGAUCCAGCAAUGCCGCGUGUGUGAAGAAGGCCUUCGGGUUGUAAAGCACUUUUGUCCGGAAAGAAAUCCUUGGCUCUAAUACAGUCGGGGGAUGACGGUACCGGAAGAAUAAGCACCGGCUAACUACGUGCCAGCAGCCGCGGUAAUACGUAGGGUGCAAGCGUUAAUCGGAAUUACUGGGCGUAAAGCGUGCGCAGGCGGUUUGCUAAGACCGAUGUGAAAAUCCCCGGGCUCAACCUGGGAACUGCAUUGGUGACUGGCAGGCUAGAGUAUGGCAGAGGGGGGUAGAAUUCCACGUGUAGCAGUGAAAUGCGUAGAGAUGUGGAGGAAUACCGAUGGCGAAGGCAGCCCCCUGGCCAAUACUGACGCUCAUGCACGAAAGCGUGGGGAGCAAAACAGGAUUAGAUACCCUGGUAGUCCACGCCCUAAAACGAUGUCAACUAGUUGUUGGGGACUCAUUUUCCUUAGUAACGUAGCUAACGCGUGAAGUUGACCGCCUGGGGAGUACGGUCGCAAGAUUAAAACUCAAAUGAAUUGACGGGGUCAUAGCUGUUUCCU
rnacentral:rRNA from 1 species